rnacentral:rRNA from 1 species
UACGAAGGGGGCUAGCGUUGCUCGGAUUGACUGGGCGUAAAGGGCGCGUAGGCGGUUUGCAUAGUCAGACGUGAAAUUCCUGGGCUUAACCUGGGGGCCGCGUUUGAUACAUGCAGGCUUGAGUUCGGAAGAGGGUCGUGGAAUUCCCAGUGUAGAGGUGAAAUUCGUAGAUAUUGGGAAGAACACCGGUGGCGAAGGCGGCGACCUGGUCCGAUACUGACGCUGAGGCGCGAAAGCGUGGGGGAGCAAACAGG